rnacentral:tRNA from 1 species
GCCAACGUAGCUCAGCGGUAGAGCUCUGGUUUUGUAAACCAGUGGUCAUUGGUUCGAAUCCAAUUGUUGGCU